rnacentral:rRNA from 1 species
AGUGAACGCUGGCGGUAGGCCUAACACAUGCCAGUCGAACGGCAGCACAGUAAGAGCUUGCUCUUACGGGUGGCGAGUGGCGGACGGGUGAGGAAUACAUCGGAAUCUACUUUUUCGUGGGGGAUAACGUAGGGAAACUUACGCUAAUACCGCAUACGACCUACGGGUGAAAGCAGGGGAUCUUCGGACCUUGCGCGAUUGAAUGAGCCGAUGUCGGAUUAGCUAUUUGGCGGGGUAAAGGCCCACCAAGGCGACGAUCCGUAGCUGGUCUGAGAGGAUGAUCGGCCACCCUGGAACUGAGACACGCUCCAGACUCCUACGGGAGGCAGCAGUGGGGAAUAUUGGACAAUGGGCGCAAGCCUGAUCCAGCAAUACCGCGUGGGUGAGGAAGGCCUUCGGGUUGUAAAGCCCUUUUGUUGGGAAAGAAAAGCAGCAGGUUAAUACCUCGCUGUUCUGACGGUACCCAAAGAAUAAGCACCGGCUAACUUCGUG